rnacentral:rRNA from 1 species
GACGAACGCUGGCGGCGUGCCUAAUACAUGCAAGUAGAACGCUGAAGGAGGAGCUUGCUCUUCUGGAUGAGUUGCGAACGGGUGAGUAACGCGUAGGUAACCUGCCUGGUAGCGGGGGAUAACUAUUGGAAACGAUAGCUAAUACCGCAUAAGAGUAGAUGUUGCAUGACAUUUACUUAAAAGGUGCAAUUGCAUCACUACCAGAUGGACCUGCGUUGUAUUAGCUAGUUGGUGGGGUAACGGCUUACCAAGGCGACGAUACAUAGCCGACCUGAGAGGGUGAUCGGCCACACUGGGACUGAGACACGGCCCAGACCCCUACGGGAGGCAGCAGUAGGGAAUCUUCGGCAAUGGACGGAAGUCUGACCGAGCAACGCCGCGUGAGUGAAGAAGGUUUUCGGAUCGUAAAGCUCUGUUGUAAGAGAAGAACGAGUGUGAGAGUGGAAAGUUCACACUGUGACGGUAUCUUACCAGAAAGGGACGGCUAACUACGUG